CGGUGGCGCGGCGGGUCGGGCGGUACCCCUGGCCGGUUGAGGCCGGGCCGGCCGAGCACGCCGGGCUGCUCGACUCGCUCGCCGCCGG
rnacentral:tRNA from 1 species